ACGUCACGAGCGCAGGACACACCUUUGGAGAAUCCGGGAAAUUUACAGACAGCUCACUCGAGGGGUGUACAAAAGGGAGGAACCAUUGAAAGCCGGCACAGAACUCAUGAAAAUAAACGAUUGGAGUGUGACUACGUUGAGGAGAAAAUGCAAAAUGAUAAAAUUAGUAACAGUAUUUUGAUACCAGUGUAAGUAGUGUUGAAGAAGUGCCAGGUGAUGUGGUGUAGUGGCAAAGUCAGUAGAACUUAACCAGCAAGGCUACCAAAUAAAUUCCAAUUUAAAAUGAUCCUAACUUACAUGUCUUUCGAAGGUUGAAAAAAAAAAAAUAAUGGGGAAAUUGGUUAAAUCGCCAAACGACUAUCGGAUGAACAUACAAACUCCACACAGACUGUACAGUACUAAGGCUGGUAUUCAAACCCAGGUUCCUGGAGCUGCGGGACAACAGCAUUAACCACUGUGCCACUUAUCUGAACCCAUAUAUUUUUCAGUUAAGGACAGCAGUGAGUCAAAGCAUAUUCUGACAACAUCAAGUUUAAGGCAGUUAUUCAUUCUGAUCAGGCCACAAGACAUCUUGCACACACCCACGCUAAAUUAACACUGUAAAAUUACAAAAUAAAAUACAGCAAACAGAACAAUUAAGCAAUCACAAUUUUUAUUUUUUAUAUUAUUAAUUGUGGCUUAAGGUCUAGGUGUUGGAUUUCAAAACAAGAAGUCUGCCAGUUCAGUUCCUGCCUCCAACUUGCUUAACCUGCCUGGGCUUCAAAAGUUAAAAAUGUAAGAAAAUUCUAUGGAUUAGUGAUCUUUUAAGUCACCUUGGUUAAAGCUGCAAGAGUAAUGGCCAUGGGAGUUUAACCUGACAGCACUGGAUGCAAAUGAGUUGCCUGUUAAUCUAAUUUAAAUGCCUUUUGAAAUCUGCAAGAACCUGUAAGGAUACAGGAGGUACAUGGAAACUCGGCAUAGACAGUAAUAAUCUAUAUAUAUAAUUCACUAAGGCAAGACAACCAU